rnacentral:piRNA from 1 species
UAACACAUGUAUAAAAAAUGA